GAGGUUGUGGCUCAGUGGCAGAGCACUUACCUAGCAUGCAUGAGGCACUGGGUUUGAUUCUCAGCACUGCA
rnacentral:tRNA from 1 species